UACGGAGGGGGCUAGCGUUGUCCGGAAUCAUUGGGCGUAAAGCGCGUGUAGGCGGUUCGGUAAGUCCGCUGUGAAAGUCGGGGGCUCAACCCUCGAAUGCCGGUGGAUACUGUCGGACUAGAGUACGGAAGAGGCGAGUGGAAUUCCUGGUGUAGCGGUGGAAUGCGCAGAUAUCGGAAGGAACAUCAGUGGCGAAAGCGACUUCCUGGACCAGUACCGACGUUCAGGCACGAAAGCGUGGGGAGCAAACAGG
rnacentral:rRNA from 1 species